UGAGGAAUAUUGGUCAAUGGCCGGAAGGCUGAACCAGCCAAGCCGCGUGAAGGACGAAGGUGCCAAGCAUUGUAAACUUCUUUUGUCAAGGGACAAAAUCAGGCUCGAGAGCCUGACCGAGGUACUUGAAGAAAAAGCAUCGGCUAACUCCGUGCC
rnacentral:rRNA from 1 species